UUGGCGGCGGCGGAUCUUCUCUGGUUGUGCCGUGUGCUGAUUUUUCCUGGAUCCCGUCUGGAGGAGGCGCCUCUCUGGUGGGUGUCGCCCCUCUUCGUGCGGUCGGCCGCCCGGCUGGGCUGCUUGAGGCUGGCAUGAUCUCCUUAUCCAGUUGAGCUUAUUAUGGAAAGUGGACGGCGAUUUGAGUCCGAUGAGAUUCAGGUCGUCAACCUGCCAGAGAUGGUUGGCAUGAAUCCGAAUGUUGCUUCAGUAUGCAAUCUGUGUUUCUGAAUUUGGGCGGUCUUCCGUCCAGCUGCUCUACGGACUGCAACGCAGCUGCCUAAAACCUGAUCUGGGAGCACAGAGCAGCUAUGCUGGUACCUGAUGAGGAUGAUGUUGAUAGCUAGGCGGAGGCAGGUGGACCGUGCAAGUGUCAUGUGAGUGCACGCUGUGCUGCUGGCUGCAGGCGAGGUGGGCUGGCUGGGCAAGCAGCACAAGACGCCCUUCGGUAGUCCCAUGAAUAACUGGAUCAAUUAGGUGAAUUCUUGCUCGCUUAAUUUGUGUAUGUUUUUCUUCCUCUAUAUCUCCUCCUUUCUUUAUCUUUGCUCACCCUAUUAUACAGCUAUAAGUCUCUACUUCCAUCUACAAUGCACAGGUCAGUAGACACGGCAGCACUUCUAGAAUCUCGAUUUUGUUGUCAGCGACCGUGAGGUAUAUCCGAAAAAUGGAACACUUUGUUUAAUCGCUCUAGCUUAAUAUCCCACCUGAAUUGUUGGAACCCAUAAGUGACUCUUCUUUUCCCAAAUAAUAUAUUGAUACCUCUAUUUGUUGCAAUUCAACUUCAUAGACAGUCAGACAGAGUCUUCCGUUUUUACCAAUAUAAUUCAAUGAAAUUCUUUUAUAAGUACAUAACACAAUUCUAAUUCAGCUAUGAUGGAAUCUUCAUGUAUUUACUUCAUUUUCAUAUGCUACAUAAACAAUUGCAAGAUGACACAAAAUAUAGGCACACCUGAAUUUUCAGUUAUAUACAGAGUACACCGUUAAAGAUGUCUGCUUCCCAGUACAUGCGCACUUACACAGAGUAAGAAUGCCACAUUAUUGCUAUAACAGUUCCAUAUAUUUAUAUAGGAAAAAAGUACGUGCGGUUAAACUGUAAUUCUAUCAUUAAAGAUCAUAGAAAUUUUCUCAUGCUGUGCAAUUCUUUGGUAACAAAUUUAAUUAGUUUUCAUGUACAACUAACAUAGAAAUUUGGCCGCCAUUUCAGGGAAACACAAUGGAAAUUUGUGUAACAGCCAAUCGCAUAUUUCAUUUCAGAGAACAAUUGAAGGAAGGCUCAGUCUAUACAUUUGAGAUGUACGCACUGAUGAAGAAGUACAGAGCCGCAGAUCAUCUGUACCGAAUAGGUGUUGUUUAACAUGCAGAGAUUCAUGAAGUCACUCCUCAGCCCGGAAAUUUCCCUCUGUUUGCAUAUGAUGUAAACAAAAAGGUAUAUUUAUGUUUGCCAGAAGAAAUGGCAGCCGGUUGUGAGAGCAAAGAGUUAGUCAUAGAGUCGGGAUCUAGACAUGAGUUGAGAUCUUGCAACAGCAUCUCAAAGAAGUUGAUGCAAAGCCUAGAACCAAUAAGAAGGUUGUUUAUAAAGAAGCCCAGUAUCUUAGAAGUUCGCAAGAAGAAAUGUCCAUAUUGUUGAACCGUAGGCAGGGAGUUCCAAACCUUAGAUGAUGAGAGUGGUGAACUUGAAUUUAGUACUGUAACAUUGUGUCAUUUCCAUGCCGGUAAUUAUCUGUGAUGUAUGUUUUAAGAGAUAACUGAAGAAGAGGUUAAUUAGUUGAUGUGUUAGUGAGACAAUGGGGCAAGUUCUAUGGUUAUAAAGGUGCAGGAAGGCGUUUUUGC